rnacentral:snoRNA from 2 species
UCUGAGAGUAUGAUGAGUCUAAUUUGCGGCUGAUAUUAUAUUGAUGUUUAUUCACCUUGGAGAACUGAUUCUCAGA